CUCUAUGGGUCCGCUAUUGGGGUGCUAUGGUCUCUAUGGGGUGGGUAUGGGGUACUGUGUAGGUUGUCCUAUGGGUGCCAUGGGUGUCCUAUGUCGGUUAUGGGUCUCUACGGGGCACUAUGGGGUGUCUAUGGGGUGGUUAUGGGGUUGCUAUGGGGUCUCUAUGGGGCGCUAUGGGGUGGUUAUGGGGCGCUAUGGGGUGGUUAUGGGUGGUUAUGCGGUCACUAUGGGGCGUAUCAGGGGUGGUUAUGGGGCAGUAUGGUGUGGUUAUGGGGCGCUAUGGGGUCGCUAUGGGGCGCUAUGGGGUGCUAUUGGGCGUCUAUAGGGUGUCUAUGGGUUACUAUGGGUCGCUAUGGGGCCGCUAUGGGUGUCUAUGGGUCACUAUGGGGUGUCUAUAGGGUGUCUAUAGGGUCUCUAUGGUCGCUAUGGGUGCCUAGUGGGUCUCUAUGGGGUGGGUAUGGGGUACUAUGUGGUGUCUAUGGGUCGCUAUGGGGUGGUUAUGGGUCGCCAUGGGGUGUCUAUGGGUCACUAUGGGGUCUCUAUGGGGCGCUAUGGGGUGGUUAUGGGGCGCUAUGGGGUGGUUAUGGGGUGGUUAUGGGGCGCUAUGGGGCUCUAUGGGUCUCUAUGGAGCUAUAUGGGUGGUUAUGGGGUGGUUAUGGGGUGGCUAUGGGGUCUCUAUGGGGUGGCUAUGGGGUGUCUAUGGGUCACUAUGGGGCUAUACGGGUCGCUAUGGGUCUCUAUGGGGUGUCUAUAGGUCGCUAUGGGGUGCUAUGGGGCUAUAUGGGUCACUAUGGGUGUCUAUGGGGUGUCUAUGGGUCUGUAUGGGGCACUAUGGUGUGUCAAUGGGGCACUAGGAGGCGCUAUGGGGCUCUAUGGGUCUCUAUGGGGCAAUAUGGGUGUUUAUGGGGUGGUUAUGGGGUCUCUAUGGGGUGGCUAUAGGAUCUCUACAGGGUGGCUAUAGGGUCUCUAUGGGAUCUCUAUGGGGUGACCUGGUGCUCUCCAUCUCUCUAUGAGCGCACUAUGGGGUGUCUAUGGGGCUCUAUGGGGUUCUAUGGGUUACUAUGGGGCGCUAUGGGUCUCUAUGGGUCCCUAUGGGUCUCUAUAGGGUGUCUAUGGGGUGGUUAUGGGGUCUCUAUGGGUCUCUAUGGGGUGGUUAUGGGGUGUCUAUAGGGUGUCCAUGGGGUGGUUAUGGGGUCUCUAUGGGUCU
rnacentral:lncRNA from 1 species